rnacentral:rRNA from 1 species
AACGAACGCUGGCGGCAGGCUUAACACAUGCAAGUCGAGCGCCCCGCAAGGGGAGCGGCAGACGGGUGAGUGACGCGUGGGAAUCUACCCAUCUCUACGGAAUAACGCAUGGAAACGUGUGCUAAUACCGUAUACGUCCUUCGGGAGAAAGGUUUAUCGGAGAUGGAUGAGCCCGCGUUGGAUUAGCUAGUUGGUGGGGUAAAGGCCUACCAAGGCGACGAUCCAUAGCUGGUCUGAGAGGAUGAUCAGCCACACUGGGACUGAGACACGGCCCAGACUCCUACGGGAGGCAGCAGUGGGGAAUAUUGGACAAUGGGCGCAAGCCUGAUCCAGCCAUGCCGCGUGAGUGAUGAAGGCCCUAGGGUUGUAAAGCUCUUUCACCGGUGAAGAUAAUGACGGUAACCGGAGAAGAAGCCCCGGCUAACUUCGUGCCAGCCGCCGCUGUAAAAC